GGACCCGCACAAGCGGUGGAGCAUGUGGUUUAAUUCGAUGCAACGCGAAAAACCUUACCUACACUUGACAUACUUCGAAUUUUCUAGAGAUAGAUUAGUGCCUUCGGGAGCGAAGAUACAGGUGCUGCAUGGCUGUCGUCAGCUCGUGUCGUGAGAUGUUGGGUUAAGUCCUAUAACGAGCGCAACCCUUACCCUUAUUUGCCAGCGGUUAGGCCGGGAACUAUAAGGGAACUGCCGGUAAUAAGCCGGAGGAAGGUGGGGACGACGUCAAGUCAUCAUGGCCCUUACGUGUAGGGCUACACACGUGCUACAAUGGGAGAUACAGACGGUUGCUAAAGCGCGAGCUGGAGCCAAUCCGACAAAGUCUCUCGUAGUCCGAAUUGCACUCUGCAACUCGAGUGCAUGAAGCUGGAAUUACUAGUAAUCGU
rnacentral:rRNA from 1 species